rnacentral:rRNA from 1 species
UACGUAGGGUGCAAGCGUUGUCCGGAAUUAUUGGGCGUAAAGAGCUCGUAGGCGGUUUGUCGCGUCUGCUGUGAAAACGCGAGGCUCAACCUCGCGCCUGCAGUGGGUACGGGCAGACUAGAGUGUGGUAGGGGAGACUGGAAUUCCUGGUGUAGCGGUGAAAUGCGCAGAUAUCAGGAGGAACACCGAUGGCGAAGGCAGGUCUCUGGGCCGUAACUGACGCUGAGGAGCGAAAGCGUGGGGAGCAAACAGG